UACCUCCUAUAGAUUAUGAUUUUGAUAGAUUAAGAGUGAGUAUUGCUAUAUUAGAAUGGGUUUUCUUUUUCAAUGCUCUUAUCUUUCAAUGGACAUUAUCAAAUGAAUUCAAAUCAACUCAACUGAUCUGGACCAACGCUGACAGCACUGGAAUCAGCACUACUACAGACUUAAACUGAUACCCAUACCAACUGAGAAUGAAUGUAAGGGUAUGAGAUAAGAUACUGGAAUCAUUGUCAUACCAUAAUUAAUCAUGUUAAUACAAACACUGGUUGCACGUUUUUAUUCGUCUUUUUAUUUUAUUUAUAAAACUAUUUAUUAGUAAAGAGAAAUAAUAAUUAAUAGCAAUAAUAAUUAUUCGUUAUACAAUACAAGCAUAAUGCUAUUAUAAUCAAAAUAAUAAUAACCUCAAUGCUUUUAAAAUGGAAAUUAAUUCCAAUCACAUUCGUAUUCAUAAAAUUAGUUAUUCUUUAUUAAUUUUAUCACCGCCAUUUGCUUUAAUUUCGUCUUCAUCUUCCUUCUCGUUGGUCAUCUUGGUGUAGCCUGUUUUGCUGCAUUUCUGCCACACUUUCUUCUUGAAGGCAAC